rfam:Triticum aestivum genome assembly, contig: Triticum_aestivum_CS42_TGACv1_scaffold_640818_T_3B-0.169335_2BL-0.120279
AUUCUACUCCCUCCGUUCCACAAUACAUGCCUUCUAUUUGUCAAAAUAUAGAUGUAUCUAGACAUGUUUUAGUAUAUAGGUACAUCCAUUUUUGGACAAAUGGAAGUCAAGUAUUUUGGAACGAAGGGAGUACACA